rnacentral:rRNA from 1 species
GAACGGAGCCGAGAGGAGCUUGCUUUUCUUAGCUUAGUGGCGAACGGGUGAGUAACGCGUGAGUAACCUGCCCUGGAGUGGGGGACAACAGUUGGAAACGACUGCUAAUACCGCAUAAGCCCACGGAUCCGCAUGGAUCUGCGGGAAAAGGAUUUAUUCGCUUCAGGAUGGACUCGCGUCCAAUUAGCUAGUUGGUGAGGUAACGGCCCACCAAGGCGACGAUUGGUAGCCGGACUGAGAGGUUGAACGGCCACAUUGGGACUGAGACACGGCCCAGACUCCUACGGGAGGCAGCAGUGGGGGAUAUUGCACAAUGGGGGAAACCCUGAUGCAGCGACGCCGCGUGGAGGAAGAAGGUUUUCGGAUUGUAAACUCCUGUCGUUAGGGACGAUAAUGACGGUACCUAACAAGAAAGCACCGGCUAACUACGUGCCAGCAGCCGCGGUAAAACGUAGGGUGCAAGCGUUGUCCGGAAUUACUGGGUGUAAAGGGAGCGCAGGCGGACCGGCAAGUUGGAAGUGAAAACUAUGGGCUCAACCCAUAAAUUGCUUUCAAAACUGCUGGCCUUGAGUAGUGCAGAGGUAGGUGGAAUUCCCGGUGUAGCGGUGGAAUGCGUAGAUAUCGGGAGGAACACCAGUGGCGAAGGCGACCUACUGGGCACCAACUGACGCUGAGGCUCGAAAGCAUGGGUAGCAAACAGGAUUAGAUACCCUGGUAGUCCAUGCCGUAAACGAUGAUUACUAGGUGUUGGAGGAUUGACCCCUUCAGCGCCGCAGUUAACACAAUAAGUAAUCCACCUGGGGAGUACGACCGCAAGGUUGAAACUCAAAGGAAUUGACGGGGGCCCGCACAAGCAGUGGAGUAUGUGGUUUAAUUCGAAGCAACGCGAAGAACCUUACCAGGUCUUGACAUCCGAUGCAUAGCUUAGAGAUAAGUGAAGUCCUUCGGGACAUCGAGACAGGUGGUGCAUGGUUGUCGUCAGCUCGUGUCGUGAGAUGUUGGGUUAAGUCCCGCAACGAGCGCAACCCUUAUUGCCAGUUACUACGCAAGAGGACUCUGGCGAGACUGCCGUUGACAAAACGGAGGAAGGUGGGGAUGACGUCAAAUCAUCAUGCCCUUUAUGACCUGGGCUACACACGUACUACAAUGGCGUUUAACAAAGAGAAGCAAGACCGCGAGGUGGAGCAAAACUCAAAAACAACGUCUCAGUUCAGAUUGCAGGCUGCAACUCGCCUGCAUGAAGUCGGAAUUGCUAGUAAUCGCGGAUCAGCAUGCCGCGGUGAAUACGUUCCCGG